CAGUAGCCGCGGUAAAACGGAGGGUGCAAGCGUUAAUCGGAAUUACUGGGCGUAAAGCGUGCGCAGGCGGUUUGUUAAGACAGAUGUGAAAUCCCCGGGCUUAACCUGGGAACUGCAUUUGUGACUGGCAAGCUAGAGUCUGGCAGAGGGGGGUGGAAUUCCGCGUGUAGCAGUGAAAUGCGUAGAUAUGCGGAGGAACACCGAUGGCGAAGGCAGCCCCCUGGGCCAACACUGACGCUCACGCACGAGAGCGUGGGGAGCAAACAGGAUUAGAUACCCCUGUAGUCCCUGUCUCUUAUAA
rnacentral:rRNA from 1 species